rnacentral:rRNA from 1 species
GAUGAACGCUGGCGGCGUGCCUAAUACAUGCAAGUAGAACGCUGAAGGAAGGAGCUUGCUCUUUCCGGAUGAGUUGCGAACGGGUGAGUAACGCGUAGGUAACCUGCCUGGUAGCGGGGGAUAACUAUUGGAAACGAUAGCUAAUACCGCAUAACAGUAGAUGUUGCAUGAUAUCUACUUAAAAGGUGCAAUUGCACCACUACCAGAUGGACCUGCGUUGUAUUAGCUAGUUGGUGAGGUAACGGCUCACCAAGGCGGCGAUACAUAGCCGACCUGAGAGGGUGAACAGACACAAUGGGACUGAGACACGGCCCAGACUCCUACGGGAGGCAGCAGUAGGGAAUAUUCGGCAAUGGACGGAAGUCUGACCGAGCAACGCCGCGUGAGUGAAGAAGGUUUUCGGAUCGUAAAGCUCUGUUGUAAGAGAAGAACGAGUGUGAGAGUGGAAAGUUCGCACUGUGACGGUAUCUUACCAGAAAGAGACGGCUAACUACGUG